rnacentral:rRNA from 1 species
UACGAAGGGGGCUAGCGUUGCUCGGAAUCACUGGGCGUAAAGCGCACGUAGGCGGACUCUUAAGUCAGGGGGUGAAAUCCUGGAGCUCAACUCCAGAACUGCCUUUGAUACUGGGAGUCUUGAGUUCGGGAGAGGUGAGUGGAACUGCGAGUGUAGAGGUGAAAUUCGUAGAUAUUCGCAAGAACACCAGUGGCGAAGGCGCUCACUGGCCCGAUACUGACGCUGAGGCGCGAAAGCCAGGGGAGCAAGCGGG